GUUGCGUCUUACUGGUGAACUCUUCCUAUUGAAGUGGAAGAUGUUCAUGUUUCCGAAGGACAGAUUGAUUUCCAGUAUCAAAGAGCACAGUGAACUCUUUCAAUAUAUAUAUAUAUAUAUAUAUAUAUAUAU